rnacentral:rRNA from 1 species
CCUACGGGAGGCAGCAGUGAGGAAUAUUGGUCAAUGGACGAGAGUCUGAACCAGCCAAGUAGCGUGAAGGAUGACUGCCCUAUGGGUUGUAAACUUCUUUUAUAUGGGAAUAAAAUGUUCCACGUGUGGGAUUUUGUAUGUACCAUAUGAAUAAGGAUCGGCUAACUCCGUGCCAGCAGCCGCGGUAAUACGGAGGAUCCGAGCGUUAUCCGGAUUUAUUGGGUCUAAAGGGAGCGUAGGUGGAUUGUUAAGUCAGUUGUGAAAGUUUGCGGCUCAACCGUAAAAUUGCAGUUGAAACUGGCAGUCUUGAGUACAGUAGAGGUGGGCGGAAUUCGUGGUGUAGCGGUGAAAUGCUUAGAUAUCACGAAGAACUCCGAUUGCGAAGGCAGUUCACUGGACUGCAACUGACACUGAGGCUCGAAAGUGUGGGUAUCAAACAGGAUUAGAUACCCCAGUAGUC